CCUACGGGGGGCAGCAGUCGAGAAUUUUUCACAAUGGGCGCAAGCCUGAUGGAGCGACGCCGCGUGGGGGAUGAAUGGCUUCGGCCCGUAAACCCCUGUCAUUUGCGAUCAACCGUUGUUAUUUAAAAGAUGACAGCCUGAUAGUAGCGAAAGAGGAAGGGACGGCUAACUCUGUGCCAGCAGCCGCGGUAAUACAGAGGUCCCGAGCGUUGUUCGGAUUCACUGGGCGUAAAGGGUGCGUAGGUGGCGUGGUAAGUCGGAUGUGAAAGCUCUGAGCUCAACUCAGAAAUUGCAUUGGAAACUGCCAUGCUUGAGGAUUGGAGGGGUGACUGGAAUACUUGGUGUAGCAGUGAAAUGCGUAGAUAUCAAGUGGAACACCAGUGGCGAAGGCGAGUCCCUGGACAACUCCUGACACUGAGGCACGAAAGCUAGGGGAGCAAACAGGAUUAGAUACCCUAGUAGUC
rnacentral:rRNA from 1 species